GACGAACGCUGGCGGCGUGCUUAACACAUGCAAGUCGAACGGAAAGGCCCUGCUUUUGUGGGGUGCUCGAGUGGCGAACGGGUGAGUAACACGUGAGUAACCUGCCCUUGACUUUGGGAUAACUUCAGGAAACUGGGGCUAAUACCGGAUAGGAGCUCCUGCUGCAUGGUGGGGGUUGGAAAGUUUCGGCGGUUGGGGAUGGACUCGCGGCUUAUCAGCUUGUUGGUGGGGUAGUGGCGUACCAAGGCUUUGACGGGUAGCCGGCCUGAGAGGGUGACCGGCCACAUUGGGACUGAGAUACGGCCCAGACUCCUACGGGAGGCAGCAGUGGAGAAUAUUGCACAAUGGGCGGAAGCCUGAUGCAGCAACGCCGCGUGCGGGAUGACGGCCUUCGGGUUGUAAACCGCUUUCGCCUGUGACGAAGCGUGAGUGACGGUAAUGGGUAAAGAAGCACCGGCUAACUACGUG
rnacentral:rRNA from 1 species